rnacentral:misc_RNA from 1 species
UCCCCGUUACCGGGGCAGUCUGGCUAGAAAAAUACAACUAACCACAGGGGUUGCGCUCGUUAAUGGACUUAACCAAACAUCUCACGACACGAGCUGACGACGGCCAUGCAACACCUGUCACUGAGUUCCCCUUACAAUCUACGAUUUUACAGAUAGCCAAAAACUAUCUAAUCAUACAUUCUAAGGGGCACUCACUCCUUUCGGAGUAAUUCUCAGGAUGUCAAGCCUUGGUAAGGUUCUUCGCUUACCAUCGAAUUAAACAACACGCUCCACCGCUUGUGCGGGUCCCCGUCAAUUCCUUUGAGUUUUAGUCUUGCGACCGUACUACUCAGGCGGAAUACUUAACGCGUUAGCUUCGCUACACACCGGGUCGAUACGGCAUACAGCUAGUAUUCAUAGU